UACAGAGGUCCCGAGCGUUGUUCGGAUUCACUGGGCGUAAAGGGUGCGUAGGUGGCCUGAAAAGUUUGAUGUGAAAGCUCAGGGCUUAACCCUGAAAUGGCAUUGAAUACUGUUGGGCUGGAGGUUUGGAGGGGGGACUGGAAUUCUUGGUGUAGCAGUGAAAUGCGUAGAUAUCAAGAGGAACACCAGUGGCGAAGGCGAGUCCCUGGACAACACCUGACACUGGGGCACGAAAGCUAGGGGGAGCAAACAGG
rnacentral:rRNA from 1 species